CCUACGGGGGGCAGCAGUGGGGAAUAUUGCACAAUGGGCGCAAGCCUGAUGCAGCCAUGCCGCGUGUGUGAAGAAGGCCUUCGGGUUGUAAAGCACUUUCAGCGGGGAGGAAGGCGGUGGGGUUAAUAACCUCAUCGAUUGACGUUACCCGCAGAAGAAGCACCGGCUAACUCCGUGCCAGCAGCCGCGGUAAUACGGAGGGUGCAAGCGUUAAUCGGAAUUACUGGGCGUAAAGCGCACGCAGGCGGUCUGUCAAGUCGGAUGUGAAAUCCCCGGGCUCAACCUGGGAACUGCAUUCGAAACUGGCAGGGUAGAGUCUUGUAGAGGGGGGUAGAAUUCCAGGUGGAGCGGUGAAAUGCGUAGAGAUCUGGAGGAAUACCGGUGGCGAAGGCGGCCCCCCUGGACAAAGACUGACGCUCAGGUGCGAAAGCGUGGGGAGCAAACAGGAUUAGAUACCCGAGUAGUC
rnacentral:rRNA from 1 species